CGCCGCCGCCGCCGCCGCCGCCUGGCUUCGGGGAGCGCCCGCUGCCCAAGCCCUCCUCAUCCCACACACGCGAGCGUACACGCGAAGUCAGCCGGCAAAGUGCAGCCCCAGCACGGCCAACUAACCCAGUGGAGGCCUGGAGGAAUACAGCCAUGUGAAUUUAAAAGUAAAGUUGGACCAUGACACUUAAUCAUCCAGUCUCCUCCCUGCAUUAUGGAUUCAUGAAUGUGAACUGAGGAGAGUUGCUCAGUCAAGAGGAGGACACUGGAGUUCAGAGGAAUUAAGCAUCUUGCCCCAAAUCAUGUCGUCAAACACUUUGCCCCUACUUCCAGACAGAGAGGUAAUGCUUUGCAGAAAUGACAUUGUUACUGCUGUUUAGUCAACGUAGAGUUAUUCAACAAGAUUUGCAGAAUGUAAGAGCUGGAAGAAAGCUCUGAAAUCAUCUAGUCCAAAGAACUCAUUUCCCUACUAGAGAAACGAAAGUCCAGAGAGGGGAGCUGCUUGGCAGAAGUUAACUAAAGAAUCAAAUUGUGCCUGGGUCAUGAAUCUCAGCUCAGUCAAGUGUCCUCACAUCUGUUACCUGUUAACGCAUCUGCUGUUUCUGUAAAAUUCUUAGACAUGUGGCAGUAAGGAGAUGCCCCCCCCCAGUCAGCUGUAGCCAGAGCUUUGUGUGAGUGUGUUGGAAGAGGAGGAUUGUCUGUAACACUUAAAUAAUUUAAUUAUUAAUGGUAGAGAAGAGCUCCAGCUGCUGCUGCUGCUGUUGAAGGCUCAUCAUUCUCACAUCUUUAGUGACACCUCAUUUAUCAAACAGCAUG